rnacentral:ncRNA from 1 species
AUUCAAGGGGUGCCCGUUAAUUGCGGGCUGAGAUGAUACCCUCUAACCUGAUUCGGACAAUACCGACGUAGGGAUGGAUAGCA